AGCUGGCUGAGGUAUAUUUCUCUAUUGCUUCUAUGGAAAUGCUGUACUUCUGAUAAUGUGUGUGGCCAUCCACCAGAAGUUGAUUUUGGAAGGCUUGUAAGAGCUUAUGGAAUUGAAGACGGGGAAGACUCAUAUGGUGCUGCAACAUUUGAGUGCCUCCCUGGCUAUGUCUUGGAAGGAUCUGAAGAAGUAAAGUGCACUUACUACGAAAAGUGGGGACCUCUACCAAAGUGUUUGGUUCCAAUUCUAUCAGCACUCAACUAUUUGAAGAAGGACCGAGGGGACAGGAGCAGGCAGAAGUAACAUCGGGACCUGCUCCUGCUGGACUCUUCCCCCCCCCACACAGGGCAAACUGCCAUCUUGGCCCUGUGGGGAAGAAGAAGGACCGAGGGGACAGGAGCAGGCAGAAGUAA